UACAGAGGGGGCAAGCGUUGUCCGGAAUUAUUGGGCGUAAAGAGCUUGUAGGCGGUUUGUCGCGUCUGCUGUGAAAUUUCGGGGCUCAACCCCGAACUUGCAGUGGGUACGGGCAGACUAGAGUGUGGUAGGGGAGACUGGAAUUCCUGGUGUAGCGGUGAAAUGCGCAGAUAUCAGGAGGAACACCGGUGGCGAAGGCGGGUCUCUGGGCCGAUACUGACGCUGAGGAGCGAAAGCGUGGGGAGCGAACAGG
rnacentral:rRNA from 1 species